rnacentral:rRNA from 1 species
UACGUAGGGUGCAAGCGUUGUCCGGAAUUAUUGGGCGUAAAGAGCUCGUAGGCGGUCUGUCGCGUCGGCUGUGAAAGCCCUGGGCUCAACCUGGGAACUGCAGUGGAUACUGGCGGACUAGAGUGUGAUAGAGGAUGGUGGAAUUCCCGGUGUAGCGGUGAAAUGCGUAGAGAUCGGGAGGAACACCAGUGGCGAAGGCGGCCAUCUGGAUCAACACUGACGCUGAGGCACGAAAGCGUGGGGAGCAAACAGGG